UGCAGGUUUUCUUGUCGAACUGCUACUGAAUAAUGGCACAACAUGAUUUCUGUGUGCUCUUGUAUAUACACACAACAUGCGAAGCAUCAAUCUUCAUGUACAUGAACUUCUAUCAUUAAUAUUUUCGAACCUUUUUUGUGUUCUAUGUAAAAUGAUUUUUCUACUGCCAAUAGUUAUACACACACAGAAGCACUAACCGAAGGUGAACUCUUCAAGAAAAUAUUCAGCUUUGGUCUGAAUUUCCAAAAUGACGCCGAUGAGAUGGUUGUUCAGAGAUUUGUUUCCUCUGCCUGCCACUUGAGAGAGAUGGAGUGAUAGAGAGGGCAGUGCUUCUUGCAUCUACAAAAAAUGGAGCAUGGCCAAAGAGGAUUUGGGAGAGAACUCAUGUUGGUGCUCUGCAGGAAGAAGCCAACAGUUAGUGAAGUUCAGAUCGGCCUCAUGGAUCAACACUGAGUAGAUCAACUUGACCUGCACACACGCUUGCGCCGGGUUGACUUUUUGUGCUGAUGGCAUCAUGGGAUGCCUGCGUGGGGACGAAUCGGG
rnacentral:lncRNA from 1 species